AUUGAACGCUGGCGGCAGGCUUAACACAUGCAAGUCGAGCGAGCGGCGGACGGGUGAGUAAUGUCUGGGAAACUGCCUGAUGGAGGGGGAUAACUACUGGAAACGGUGGCUAAUACCGCAUACCAUCAGAUGUGCCCAGAUGGGAUUAGCUAGUCGGUGGGGUAAUGGCUCACCUAGGCGACGAUCCCUAGCUGGUCUGAGAGGAUGACCAGCCACACGGGAACUGGGACACGGUCCAGACGCCUACGGGAGGCAGCAGUGGGGAAGAUUGCACAAUGGGCGAAAGCCUGAUGCAGCCAGGCCGCUUGUGUGAAGAAGGCCUUCGGGUUGUAAAGCACUUUUAGCGAGGAGGCGUUACUCGCAGAAUAAGCACCGGCUAACUCCGUGCCAGCAGCCGCGGUAAUAC
rnacentral:rRNA from 1 species